AACGCUAGCUACAGGCUUAACACAUGCAAGUCGAGGGGUAGCAGGGUAGCAAUACCGCUGACGACCGGCGCACGGGUGAGUAACACGUAUCCAACCUUCCCAUAACUCGGGGAUAGCCUUUCGAAAGAAAGAUUAAUACCCGAUAGUACUUAAGAAAGGCAUCUUUGAUAAGUUAAAGAUUUAUUGGUUAUGGAUGGGGAUGCGUUCCAUUAGAUAGUUGGUGAGGUAACGGCUCACCAAGUCUUCGAUGGAUAGGGGUUCUGAGAGGAAGGUCCCCCACAUUGGUACUGAGACACGGACCAAACUCCUACGGGAGGCAGCAGUGAGGAAUAUUGGUCAAUGGGCGAGAGCCUGAACCAGCCAAGUAGCGUGAAGGAUGAAGGUCCUAUGGAUUGUAAACUUCUUUUAUAGUAGAAUAAAGUGAACCACGUGUGGUUUUUUGUAUGUAUACUAUGAAUAAGGAUCGGCUAACUCCGUGCCAGCAGCCGCGGUAAUACGGAGGAUCCGAGCGUUAUCCGGAUUUAUUGGGUUUAAAGGGUGCGUAGGCGGAAUAAUAAGUCAGUUGUGAAAGUUUGCGGCUCAACCGUAAAAUUGCAGUUGAUACUGUUAUUCUUGAGUGUACAUAAGGUAGGCGGAAUUCGUGGUGUAGCGGUGAAAUGCUUAGAUAUCACGAAGAACUCCGAUUG
rnacentral:rRNA from 1 species